AGCAAAUUGAAAUUCGUUCGGCAUAACAAAGGAACGAAGAAACGCACAACUUAAUCCAGACUCCUGCCGAGAAAUACAGUUUUGUCGUCCAAAAAUUGCCAUCAAGAUUGGGAGCCAAUGAAAAGACAACUUUCUGUGGCGGAAAAGUUGCCGCAAGUCCAUUUGAUUUGCUUUUAAUUGCCGGCUUUUUGGUCCGACCAGCGAUAAGCAAUUGCGUUUUAGAUUUAUAGCGAGCAAUUAAGUGGUUGACAACGAUUUAAUGGCAAAUUACACAAUAACCACAAGACAUGUAGGCGGUUACUGGAAAGAUUCGAAACGAGUCCGGAAACUGGAGGGAGUCCUCGAUACAUUAUUAUUUCUGAAAAACAGGGAGCUUUUUACUUACCCGAUCUUCGUGACAUUUGAAUUGCAGCCUAUAUGUAUUGUAUCUCCCCUUUGAUUUCAAGGGAAUUCAAUUAAUUUCCGCAACAACUCGUUUCUGCCCCAACUGUCACUUCAAUUUGCUGGAGGAGAUUGCCACAUAUGUGGACUGCAGAAAUGGAGGGCAGGAAACACGGAAAGUAGACAGUGCAACAUUCGGGAAUCCCACUCGUCAUCUUCAGCGUUCCUGGAUGUCUGAGCGCAAAUAUGGACAGACAGAGGGACGGACCGACAUGGCCAGAUCAACCCGGCUAUAGAUCACAGGUGCACUUUCUUCAAGCUGUUUCAUACUUUUCAAAAUAUUUAACAUAGUUUAUCCAAGAGUGAAGUGUAAAAGAACCUACAUGUGCCAUUUAAACCAAAUCCAGACAAUUGAAUUUUUUCUGCCACAACACACACACAUAGAGAUAGAACCUCGCAUGCGAGAUUAUUGUUUUAUGGAGCCAGGGCAUUAUU